CAUAGUCACAAAAAGAUCAGGUUUUCCAAAGUGUUGUACUAAGGCGAUAGCAUCCAUAUAUCGACGCCGCAUAUCUCUUGGUCCACCUAUGAAAGUAACCGGGAGGAAUGUUUUUUUGCCAAUUUUGGAAGCCUCUGUUUCACCAACUCGCAAAAAGUCAAUAAUUCCUUGUAAUAUAUCUACUCGGAAUAAGUCUUGAUUAAGUGAGACAAAAUCCAAUCUUUGUGUUUCAACUUUUAUGAAAACAUCAACUAUAAAUUGUUGA
rnacentral:lncRNA from 1 species